UUUUUUUUUUUUUUUUUUUAAUAUUGUAAGAGUGUCUGCUGAAACUUAGUAUUGUUUCAGUUCAGAUCAAUAGUUGUAAUCCCAAUGGCCUUUUCUCAAUCCCUGCUAAUAUACAAGUCUAUUUACAAGGGGCUUUCCCUCUGGCUAGCAACCCCCAUCCCGCUGCAGAUUGAGCAGAACCUUUUACCAUCUGUCACUGUGUUACUCCAAAAUGCAGUACUUCACAGAACAGACAGAGAGCUGGCGCACCUGAUAGGCUUAUUUCUAGAAUGGGAUGGGUCUUAAGAACAUGAGUGACAGGGUGCAUAGAGGAAGUCCUGUUGAGCUAAGACAGGUUUACUGUUGGGUGGGGGGGGUUGCCUUGGAGAAGAUGCACUAAGUCGUGUGGGCGGCGUAAAUCCAGUAUACGUGAGCCGGUUAAGCAGGCCAGAGCUGUUUUUAUUUUCUGUGGAGAAGAGAGGGAGGCACAGAGACUUCAUACACAUGAAUAGCCUCUUUUUCUGAAGACUCUUGAAGGAGGGAAUUUACUGUGUUCCCACUGCUGCAGUGUAGCGGAUGGGAAGGAGCGGUUGAGAGGGGAGUUAACAGGUGAUUUUGAAGAUGAUAUUGGAGUCCAUCCAAACUCUAUGUCAGAUGUGAACAACAACAUACUUCCUGAGCAAACAAGAUGACCAGUACGAUAAAUCAAUUGCAGAGAACAGGUGUUGUGAUAUAGGACAGAUCUGCAGGCUGAUUUUGGUCAGUCAUGUCUCAGUCAGGUAAAGUCCUCCACUUGUAUGUAGAGGUGAGAUCUGUCACUGAUGAAGAAGGAAAAGACCUGGAUGAUGUGGCAAAAACAGACUCCCUUAUGUUGACAGCACCAGACAUCCUUCAGUCAUCGCAGUAUGGUGGCCCUAAUGCACCACAUGGUCAGACAUCCCCACGCGGAGUCCUGCAUAAAGGUGGAAGCAGCACCAAGACCUUGGCCUCUAGUAAAUCAACAUCUAGACACUCCGUAAGUUUUCAGCUACAUCCAGGACACGACUCAGACCAACCGGUGACCCAACAGCAGAAAAGUCUACCUUAUGAUGAGAUAAACCAGUUACUGUCUGCCUUUCAAACAGAUCCCAAUGGAAAUGCAUGUCACUUGGUUUGUGCUCCUUCUGAACGUGACCCCUUCUUUGGGAAGGAACCUCACUUCUCAGGACGGUUUACUGCCCCUCCUACUCCCAGUGGGACUCGUAAAGCUUGCAGCCCAACUAAGAUGAAUGGAGGAAAUGAAGGGAGGCGAUCUGUUGCCACUUUCAGUUACAUUGAAAAAGCUAAAAUUAAAUCAGUAGAGGGUCAGUAUAGCUCUUUGUGCCAGAGCGAGCCUCACAAUCCUUUCAACAGAACCAUGGAGGAGAGUGCUACCCCUCUCCACCUCAGGAAAAGGCUCAGUGAUCCAGUGUGGUUGAACAGAUUGGAAUCCAUGAACAACUGUAGUUCAAACCAGCUUAGUCAAGGUUUGGGGAACUCACAUAUAGGUACUCCCAGCUUUAGGAGGGCAACUCUAGACUCCAUUGCCAGAGAAGCCACCCAUCGAGCAUUGGAAGAUUUUGGUUCCCCACAACUAAGGCAAAAACUGGCAGGCAACUGUCCUGAUAGAGGUCAUGACAUCAGAAGAGGAGAGCAGCGCCGCUGUCGGUCUUGGUCUGGAUCACCAGUGAUACCAUGCAGUUCUAGGACCCUGCCCACAAAAGCAACAAUAAUGGACCAUGAGCGGAAUAGUUUGUUUUAUAGAAUUCCUAGGAGCCAUGCUACAGACCAACUGUCUAACCAUGCCAAGCAAGUUUACUUUACAAUGUCACACUCAAGCGCCAACAAUCAGGAGGUCUCAAACCAAAGAGUGCAAGAGUAUAGGUAUCGCCCAAAUUUACCAUCCUGUAAGCCUACAGCUAUUCAACAUGAACAGCCAGCUAUGAUUGUAACUCAACCAUCAAGCAAUCAACAACUCAGUCAUUCCAUAAUAGAUAGUCCACGGCAAGCCCACAGAGUUAAUUUCAACCUGACCAACUCAAAAAAUAAGGUAGAAGAAGGAGCUAACCAGCUGAGUGGAAGGAGGAGCAUAUCCCCAGCCACAAGUCCCGAGAUGGCUUGUAAACUAGCAGAAGAAGCCACCAAACUUUCCAUACUUAUGGAAGCCAGGAGGUCUCCAACCCCAACCCUAUCAUCGACAGACACGGUAAGAUCUGACAGUCCCCAGCUAGGACAUUCAAGAGAGCCUCCGCUCUAUGCUAACUUCCAGGGCCCUGGAGAACAAACUCACUCUAAUUGCAACCUUCCUGGUCAGGAGUACAACUGUAAACAAGAAUUUGUCAAAACUGGUCACCACUCUGUUCAAACAACCCCUCUUUUGCCCCACAUUGGAAGUAUAUCUCCAGCAGCUCCAGCAAGGUUGAACCGAUCAGAUGUAAUACCGUCCUCUCCAAUACGAGACCCACGUAUAGAGAGAACACAGUUGGUAGGGAAGGACAGCCCGACUUUGCAUCGGCACCUGCCUUCCCAGUACACAAGAGACAGUCAUACACCUAGUUAUGAGCAUAGGCAGUAUGAGACACUCAGAGGUCUAAAAGACAGCCCAAAUAGCAGCAGGAGACAUUUUACAAGGCCUAACCUAGAGACACCAAGCUGGACCGCUCAGCAAAAGCAUGGGGUAGAGGAAUGCUUAGCCAGAGAAAAGGAAAACUUAAGGGAGAAGGACAGUCAUAAGAGGAAUAGUCCAACAACACCAGUCUCUGAAGAGAACCAUUGUAGGGUCUCAAUGCAGAAAAAUGAGAUGAAAGCUGACACUAGGACUAACAGGGAGUGGAGUGGUACAGCAUCACAGAGUUCCAGUGGGGUCACAGGCAGCCUUAUAGAGAGCACUCUACAUGAGAAAGACUGCAUAUCCUCUGAGAUAUCUAGCAAAACCAGCCAAAAGAGUCCUGACUCUGGAAACACAGGAAUACAGUCUGAAGGUGGACCAUUUCUGCUGAGGCCUUCCUUGCGCUCUCAGAAGAUUGCUCGUGCCAAAUGGGAGUUCCUGUUUGGGUCCCACUACGAUCAACAAGAUAAGCAUGAAACAAAGGGUGAGAAUUUCUUGGAAAUGUCCAACUCAGACUUCCAGAAGGCAGUUUUCUGAAAUG
ensembl:lncRNA